AUUGAACGCUGGCGGCAGGCCUAACACAUGCAAGUCGAACGGUAGCAGGAAGAAGCUUGCUUCUUUGCUGACGAGUGGCGGACGGGUGAGUAAUGUCUGGGAAACUGCCUGAUGGAGGGGGAUAACUACUGGAAACGGUAGCUAAUACCGCAUAACGUCGCAAGACCAAAGAGGGGGACCUUCGGGCCUCUUGCCAUCGGAUGUGCCCAGAUGGGAUUAGCUAGUAGGUGGGGUAACGGCUCACCUAGGCGACGAACCCUAGCUGGUCUGAGAAGAUGAACAGCGACACUGGAUCUGAGACACUGUACUGACUCCUACGGGAUGGUGAGGUGAGAUAUAUUGCACAAGGUGCGCAAGCCUGAUGCAGCCCUGCCGCGUGUAUGAUGAAGGCCUUCGGGUUGUAAAGUACUUACAGCGGGGAGGAGGGGAGUAAAAUAAAUACCUUUUCUCAUUGACGUUACCCGCAGAAGGAGCACCGGCUAGCUCCGUG
rnacentral:rRNA from 1 species